rnacentral:lncRNA from 1 species
AGGAGAUGGAUUGAGAGUAGGAGAAGAAACAGAAGAGGUAUUCCCUGAAGAGGCAAAGGGAAAUACAUCUUCAUGAAAAACCACAUCCCUGGAGACUAUUGUAAGUUUAGUCUUCAAGUUGUACAGCUUGUAUCCUUUUUUUCCCAAUGGAUAUCCCAGAAAAACACAAGGAUCAGCAAAAGACAUCUUCAUGAAAAACCACAUCCCUGGAGACUAUUGUAAGUUUAGUCUUCAAGUUGUACAGGUUGUACCCCUUUUUACCCAAAGGAUAUCCCAAAAAAACACAAGGAUUAGCUCUAGGCUGAAAUUUGUCCCUGUGCUGCUUAGGGACAUCAGCAAAACAAAGACACCCAAAGGUUUUAAGAUGGUUGUAAGAAGGGGUUUGUCCAAAAAGCAACUUAAAAGGGGAUACAUUGUUAAGUAGUUUGGAAGAAAAUCUGUUUAUGAGAUAGGUUGCAAUAAGCACACAAUCACCCCAGAAUCUAAGAGGGAGUUGGGAAUGAAAGAGUAAGGCUCUGGAUGUUUCCAGUAGAUAUUUAUGCUUUCUUUCAACCACACCAUUUUGUUGUGGUGUAUGAGAGCAAGAGGUUUGGUGUAGGAUUCCAUUUUCAGCAAAGAUAUUGCAGCCAGAACUACUAGAUCCAAGUUCAAAGGCAUUGUCACUCCUAAUGGUUUGCACAACAGUCUGGAAUUGAGUUUUGAUCUUGCCUUGAUAAGAAGAAAUAAAAGCAUUGUCACUCCUAAUGGUUUGCACAACAGUCUGGAAUUGAGUCUUGAUCAUGGCAAUAAAAGCCUUGAUAAAAGGAAAGGCAUUGCUCUUGGACCCCGUACGGUGAGUCCAGGUAGCUAUAGUAAAAUCAUCAACUAUUGUUAGAAAAUAUUUACAGCCAUUAUGAGUGGAGGUGGCAUAAGGACCCCAGGUAUCUACAUGAAUGAAUUGAAAGGCAUGUGUUGUCCUAAUGGAACUGUCAUGAAAUAGCAGUCUAGAUUGUCUAGCUAAUAGGCAAACAGUACAUAUGAAAGGUUGUUUAUUUGCAAAUUUGCAUGGAAUAGAAGGAAUGUCCUNN